UACGUAGGGUGCAAGCGUUAAUCGGAAUUACUGGGCGUAAAGCGUGCGCAGGCGGUUUUGCAAGACAGAUGUGAAAUCCCCGGGCUUAACCUGGGAACCGCAUUUGUGACUGCAUAGCUGGAGUACGGCAGAGGGGGAUGGAAUUCCGCGUGUAGCAGUGAAAUGCGUAGAUAUGCGGAGGAACACCGAUGGCGAAGGCAGUCCCCUGGGCAUGUACUGGCGCUCAUGCACGAAAGCGUGGGGAGCAAACAGG
rnacentral:rRNA from 1 species